CUAUCAGUUAUUGGGUGAUGUGCGGCGCACUUGGCUGGGAUCGUAUUGCGUUUCGGUGCGCCGUGUGUUCAAGACUGAGUUCAGCUGGCGUCGACGAUGCUACUUCGGCUUGCUGAAGGUGUGUGGCCUCGCUGGCACUGGAAAGCCCCGCAUCUGUCUCCAAAGUCAUAAGGUUCACGUGAAGCACCACAAUGUCACCGUGAAUAAAUCAACCAGGACUGGAUACAAGAAUCAGCAGGAAUAUUGUGAUGUACAAGGCAACAGAAGGUGGUGAAAUACACCGCAAGAGAAACAGAUGAGCGUCGGGGGCAGAGAAGUCACUGCGCUGUGCUUGGACCACUGCGGUCACCACUGUGAGGCUAAUUGUUCGAUUAAGGUCCGAAUGAUUAACUUUAAUUUGUAGUAUUAUAUACAGUGUAAUUAAUCAUCAUAAUAUUGUAAGGAACACAAAGUCACGUGAGUGUAUCAGUAAAUAUGAAAACAUGAACACAUCUAUCAAGAAAGAAUAAGCCAAGAGCUCUUAGUGCCAAUAAACGUCUGCGCCAAACUCAUCCAUGGAACGCAGGCCUCCCGACGAGGUUAGUGGUCUGACCUUGGCAUUCCAACCCUACACACACACACACACACACACACACCGCGCGCUCGCGCGGCGUGCGUGCAUAUGUUUGUGUGUAUGUGUGUGUGUGUGUGUGUGUGUGUGUGUAAGAAUUGAACGCCAGCACUUGGAGGAAAUAUGUAUGUAUGGUGUAAUGAUAAAGAUGGAUGGUGGAGGUGGGUGGUGGUGUACUCGAUUACGAUUACAAUUACAUUAAAGUAUCACGACAACAACUCGGUUUUUUACUUUAAUUUGUCCUAGUCUGAGUAUUUUACAUGUACAAGUAUGUAUAAGCACAUUUUUACUGACGCCCUUAACUUUUUUUUUUUCUACAGCAUAGUGUGUGUGUGUGUGUGUGUGUGUGUGUGUGUGUGUGUGUGUGUGUUUCGUAGUAUAGCAUUGUAAUACGGAUAGUGCAAAUCUUAAAUGGCCGUCAUUUACCAAUGGCAGAUCACGAAA